rnacentral:rRNA from 1 species
AUUGAACGCUGGCGGCAGGCCUAACACAUGCGAGUCGAGAGGAUGAAGGGAGCUUGCUCCUGGAUUCAGCGGCGGACGGGUGAGUAAUGCCUAGGAAUCUGCCUGGUAGUGGGGGAUAACGUCCGGAAACGGGCGCUAAUACCGCAUACGUCCUGAGGGAGAAAGUGGGGGAUCUUCGGACCUCACGCUAUCAGAUGAGCCUAGGUCGGAUUAGCUAGUUGGUGGGGUAAAGGCCUACCAAGGCGACGAUCCGUAACUGGUCUGAGAGGAUGAUCAGUCACACUGGAACUGAGACACGGUCCAGACUCCUACGGGAGGCAGCAGUGGGGAAUAUUGGACAAUGGGCGAAAGCCUGAUCCAGCCAUGCCGCGUGUGUGAAGAAGGUCUUCGGAUUGUAAAGCACUUUAAGUUGGGAGGAAGGGCAGUAAGUUAAUACCUUGCUGUUUUGACGUUACCAACAGAAUAAGCACCGGCUAACUUCGUG